CCCCUGGUGUUUUUAAACACCACCCAAAACUUGAGAAAGUUGAUCG
rfam:Aphanomyces invadans strain NJM9701 unplaced genomic scaffold supercont1.4, whole genome shotgun sequence.